rnacentral:miRNA from 1 species
CACAUUUGCCUAAUCGGGC